rnacentral:piRNA from 1 species
UAGCUCAUUAGCCUAUUUUCUACAUGUGA